ACCAGUCCUCGUUAGGCGAGGCGUCUAUGUAAACAUAGGCCACUGCCCGGAAACGUCGAAAGACGCCAAUGGGUCACCAGGUAUUGCCGGAUUAAGGCUUUACCUAAUGUGGCUGAGUGCAAACUCUACGUUGCAUAGUGCUAAAGCUCAACCAGGGGGAUGUAC
rnacentral:sRNA from 1 species